UACGGAGGGAGCUAGCGUUAUUCGGAAUUACUGGGCGUAAAGCGCACGUAGGCGGCUUUGUAAGUAAGAGGUGAAAGCCCGGAGCUCAACUCCGGAACUGCCUUUUAGACUGCAUCGCUUGAAUCCAGGAGAGGUGAGUGGAAUUCCGAGUGUAGAGGUGAAAUUCGUAGAUAUUCGGAAGAACACCAGUGGCGAAGGCGACUUACUGGACACAUAUUGACGCUGAGGUGCGAAAGCGUGGGGAGCAAACAGG
rnacentral:rRNA from 1 species